UACGUAGGGUGCAGGCGUUCAUCGGAAUUACUGGGCGUAAAGCGUGCGCCGGCGGUUUCUUAAGUCAGAUGUGAAAGCCCCGGGCUUAACCUGGGAACUGCGUUUGAAACUGGGAGACUUGAGUGUGGCAGAGGGGGGUGGAAUUCCACGUGUAGCAGUGAAAUGCGUAGAUAUGUGGAGGAACACCGAUGGCGAAGGCAGCCCCCUGGGUUAACACUGACGCUCAUGCACGAAAGCGUGGGGAGCAAACAGG
rnacentral:rRNA from 1 species